rnacentral:tRNA from 1 species
GCGGAUGUGAUGUAAUUGGCAGCAUUCCAGCCUUCCAAGCUGGCCGUGCGGGAUCGUACCCCGUCAUCCGCUCCA